rnacentral:rRNA from 2 species
UCUGGUGUCAGCCGCCGCGGUAAAACCAGCACCUCAAGUGGUCAGGAUGAUUAUUGGGCCUAAAGCAUCCGUAGCCUGCUUUGCCAGUUUUCGGUUAAAUCCAUACGCUCAACGUAUGGGCUGCCGGGAAUACUACAAAGCUAGGGAGUGGGAGAGGUAGACGGUACUCGGUAGGAAGGGGUAAAAUCCUUUGAUCUAUUGAUGACCACCUGUGGCGAAGGCGGUCUACCAGAACACGUCCGACGGUGAGGGAUGAAAGCUGGGGGAGCAAACCGGAUUAGAUACCCGGGUAGUCCCAGCUGUAAGCUAUGCAAACUCAGUGAUGCAUUGGCUUGAUGCCAAUGCAGUGCUGCAGGGAAGCCGUUAAGUUUGCCGCCUGGGAAGUACGUACGCAAGUAUGAAACUUAAAGGAAUUGGCGGGGGAGCACCACAAGGGGUGAAGCCUGCGGUUCAAUUGGAGUCAACGCCAGAAAUCUUACCCGGAGAGACAGCAGAAUGAAGGUCAAGCUGAAGACUUUACCAGACAAGCU